rnacentral:rRNA from 1 species
GACGAACGCUGGCGGCGUGCUUAACACAUGCAAGUCGAACGGAAAGGCCCUGCUUGCAUGGUGCUCGAGUGGCGAACGGGUGAGUAACACGUGGGUGAUCUGCCCCUUACUUUGGGAUAAGCCUGGGAAACUGGGUCUAAUACUGGAUAGGACCAUGCUGUAGGUGGUGUGGUGGAAAGAUUUUUUCGGUAAGGGAUGAGCUCGCGGCCUAUCAGCUUGUUGGUGGGGUAAUGGCCUACCAAGGCGUCGACGGGUAGCCGGGCUGAGAGGGUGGACGGCCAAAUUGGGACUGAGAUACGGCCCAGACUCCUACGGGAGGCAGCAGUGGGGAAUAUUGCACAAUGGGCGUAAGCCUGAUGCAGCGACGCCGCGUGGGGGAUGACGGCCUUCGGGUUGUAAACUCCUUUCAGCCAUGACGAAGCCUCUUUUGGGGUGACGGUAGUGGUAGAAGAAGCACCGGCUAACUACGUG